UGUUCGAAGGGAUUGGGGAUGACAUGC
rnacentral:piRNA from 1 species